ensembl:lncRNA novel transcript
GGCGACUUGGCGGCGGGUGCCAUGCGUCUGGAGCUUCACAUUCUCUGCCCCCCACCCACCGCGCCGGCGCUCCCUUGUCACGCCUCGGGAAGCGCGCACCUGCCAAGCAGGUCACUCUGUCGCCGGAGGGCAGUGGCAUGAUCAUAGGUCACUGUAACCUGGAACUCCUGGGUUCAGGCAAUCUUCCCACUUCAGCUUCCUGAGUAGCUAGAAUUACAGGUGUGUGCUACCAUUCUGGCAGUUUUUUUUUUUUAGAGACUAUAUCUCUAUGGGGUAUAAAUUUCUCUCUAAGCAACACACUUUAUUCCUUCAAGUUUUAAUAACUGUAUUUUCACUAUUAUUCACUUAUAAAUAAUUCACUUUUGUAUUUAAAAAGAAUAAGUAUUCUUUCUUGUUUGGGAGUAUAGAGUUCCAUAUAAUGCCUGUUCAAAUUUGCUGAUUAUAUUGUUUAAAUCUUUUAAAUCAAAGGUAUUUUAUCUACUUAUUCUAUUAGUUAUUGAUAGUAUGUUGAAAUAUUCCACUGUUAUAGAUUUAUUCAUUUUUCCUUGUAGGUCUGCUAAUUUUUAUUUUCUCUAUUUUGAAGCUAUGUAUUAGAUAUAUCAAAAUUGUUAUAUUUCUCUGGCAAACUGAACCUUUUAUAAUUAUCAAGUGUCCCUCUUUGUUUCUAAUAAUGGUUUUUGUUUUAGAGUUUAACUACACCAGCUUUGUGAGUGUGUUUAUAAUUCCAUCCUAUAACUUUUCAUCUUUUUGUAUCCAUAUAUUUUAGAUGUGUCUCUUGUAAAUGCAUUUAGAUGUUUUCUUUUAACCAAUCUGAGCAUACAAUCGUGGGUCAUUUAGCCCAUUUUAAUGUAAUUGAAUUACUAAUAUAGUUGGUAUAAUAGCUAAGAGCAGUGGCUUCAGUGCUACACACACCUAGGUUUGAAUAUUGGCUCUACCAUGGCCAAAUAUGUUGUCUUGAUCCUGGGCUUGGUUCGCAGGAGCAUUAAAGGAUUAAUGAGCAAAAACAGAAAUUCUAAGUGCUAUUAUUGAAGGGGAAGUGAAGCUAGUAUAAGGAAGACAGUCUUCCUGGAAAAAAUUAAUUAUUGGUAGAGGGAAGAGAAAUAAAAUUAAAUGGGUAAGGUGAGACCAACCGUGGGAGCAUUGAAAACUUAGCAAAAGAGUAAAAACUUUUGCUGGUGGGAGCUUUUAGAAGCUCUUGAGCAUGGAAUUAGCAUGACAAGCCUGAAGAGAUCACUACUUUGGAAUUUUCUCCCAAGUGGAAGUCAACCUGUUGGGUAUACCCGAGAACCUGUUGGCCAUUGUAAAAAGUUGUACUGAGAAAGGAUGAAGACCUAAACAACUACAGAAAGAAGAUUACAGUGUUUGAAUGACAGGAAAGCAUUGAACUAUGGUUAGCUGUCUGUUGCAGUAAAGGGAAGUGAGUUAGCUCAGGAGGUGAAGACGUUUAAUGUGAAAGUGGCUGCAGGUAGUUCCAUGUUGUGUCACAAUGCCAUUCACUGUGCUCCUGGAUGUCACAAUUACACUGAAGUGUACAGGGCAAAAGGCUAAUUUUAAAAUUAGCCAAAUAACUGGGAGAGAGUUGAAAGUACCUUAUGUAUAAUUUCUCUUCUGCUAACUUAGUAUGCAAUCUAAAAUUCUUGAUUUCUUGAUUUUUUUCAUAUUUUAAGUAGGAAUAAUUUCUGACUUGCCUACAUCUCAGAUUUAUUGUAAAAUGAUAGAUGCACAAGUAUUUUGGGAACCCAAGUCAAAAAUCACUUUAAAAUAAUUAUUUUUAUUGGAAUAUAUAUAAUCAAGAUUUGAUAUUUACCAAUAUCAAUACUCAAACAGGCGGGGCGCAGUGGCUCACACCUGUAAUCCCAGCACUUUGGGAGGCUGAGCUGCACCGAUGGCUCGAUCCCAAGGAGUUCAAGACCAGCCUGAGCAAAAUGACGAAACCACACCUCUACAGAAAAUACAGAAAGUUAUCCAGGGAUAAUGGCACAUGCCUGUAGUCCCAGCUACUAGGGGUGGGUGGGGGGUUUGAAGCGGGAAGAUUGCUUAGUCCUGGGAGGUUCAGGCUGCAAUAAGCCAUUAUCACACCACUGCACUCCAGCCUGGGCGACAGAGCGAGACCUUGUCUCAAAAACAAAACAAAACAACAAUGACAACAACAAAACACCUCUAAAGCAGCAAUUCUUAAACUUUUUAGUCUCUAGGAUCCCUUUAUAAUAUUAAAAAUUGAGACCCAGCCAGGUGUGGUGGCUCACACCUAUACCCCAACACUUUGGGAGGCUGAGGUGGGAGGAUCACUUGAACCUUGGAGUUUGAGGUCAGCCUGGGCAACAUAGGGAGACCUGCACCUCUACAAAAAAUUAAGAAAUUAGCCAGUCAUGGUAGAGCCUGCCUAUGGUCCCAGCUACUUGAGAGGCUGAGGUAGUGAGGUACGAGGUCGAGGCUGCAGUAAGCCAUGAUCACGCCACUGCA